rnacentral:rRNA from 1 species
GCAUAGAUAAUGUGCCCCUUAGUUCGGGAUAGCCUCCGGAAACGGUGAUUAAUACCGGAUACUCCUUCUUGUUAUAAGACAAGUCGGGAAAGUUUUUCGCUAAGGGAUCAGUCUAUGUUCCAUCAGCUUGUUGGUGAGGUAAUGGCUCACCAAGGCUAUGACGGAUAUCUGGUUUGAGAGGAUGAUCAGACACACUGGAACUGAGACACGGUCCAGACUCCUACGGGAGGCAGCAGUGAGGAAUAUUGCACAAUGGAGGAAACUCUGAUGCAGCAACGCCGCGUGGAGGAUGACGCAUUUCGGUGUGUAAACUCCUUUUAUUAGGGAAGAUAAUGACGGUACCUAAUGAAUAAGCACCGGCUAACUCCGUGCCAGCAGCCGCGGUAAUACGGAGGGUGCAAGCGUUACUCGGAAUCACUGGGCGUAAAGGGUGCGUAGGCUGGCUUUUAAGUCAGAUGUGAAAUCCAAUGGCUCAACCAUUGAACUGCAUUUGAAACUGAAAGCCUAGAGUUCAGAAGGGGCAGAUGGAAUUAGUGGUGUAGGGGUAAAAUCCGUAGAUAUCACUAGGAAUAUCAAAAGCGAAGGCGAUCUGCUGGGAUG